GCAGCAGUGGGGAAUCUUGCGCAAUGGGCGGAAGCCUGACGCAGCGACGCCGCGUGCGGGAGGAAGGCCCUCGGGUCGUAAACCGCUUUCAGCAGGGACGAGGCCGCGAGGUGACGGUACCUGCAGAAGAAGCCCCGGCUAACUACGUGCCAGCAGCCGCGGUAAUACGUAGGGGGCGAGCGUUAUCCGGAUUCAUUGGGCGUGAAGCGCUCGUAGGCGGCCUGCCAGGUCGGGAGUCAAAUGCGGGGGCCCAACCCCCGGCCGCUCCCGAUACCGGCGGGCUUGAGUUUGGUAGGGGAAGGCGGAACUCCCGGUGUAGCGGUGGAAUGCGCAGAUAUCGGGAGGAACACCGGUGGCGAAGGCGGCCUUCUGGGCCACGACUGACGCUGAGGAGCGAAAGCUGGGGGAGCGAACAGGAUUAGAUACCCUGGUAGUCCCAGCCGUAAACGAUGGACACUAGGUGUGGGGGGGACGCCCCUCCGUGCCGCAGCCAACGCAUUAAGUGUCCCGCCUGGGGAGUACGGCCGCAAGGCUAAAACUCAAAUGAAUUGACGG
rnacentral:rRNA from 1 species